CCUGCGGAGGCAGCAGUGGGGAAUAUUGCACAAUGGGGGGAACCCUGAUGCAGCGACGCCGCGUGAGUGAAGAAGUAUUUCGGUAUGUAAAGCUCUAUCAGCAGGGAAGAAAAUGACGGUACCUGACUAAGAAGCCCCGGCUAACUACGUGCCAGCAGCCGCGGUAAUACGUAGGGGGCAAGCGUUAUCCGGAUUUACUGGGUGUAAAGGGAGCGUAGACGGCGAUGCAAGUCAGAGGUGAAAGCCCGCGGCUCAACUGCGGGACUGCUUUUGAAACUGUAUAGCUUGAGUGCAGGAGAGGUAAG
rnacentral:rRNA from 1 species